rnacentral:rRNA from 1 species
GACGAACGCUGGCGGCGCGCCUAACACAUGCAAGUCGAACGAGCGAGAGGAGGUUUACUUUCUCAAGCGAGUGGCGAACGGGUGAGUAACGCGUGAGGAACCUGCCUCAAAGAGGGGGACAACAGUUGGAAACGACUGCUAAUACCGCAUAAGCCCACGACCCGGCAUCGGGUAGAGGGAAAAGGAGCAAUCCGCUUUGAGAUGGCCUCGCGUCCGAUUAGCUAGUUGGUGAGGUAAUGGCCCACCAAGGCGACGAUCGGUAGUCGGACUGAGAGGUUGAACGGCCACAUUGGGACUGAGACACGGCCCAGACUCCUACGGGAGGCAGCAGUGGGGAAUAUUGCACAAUGGGGGAAACCCUGAUGCAGCGACGCCGCGUGGAGGAAGAAGGUCUUCGGAUUGUAAACUCCUGUUGUUGAGGAAGAUAAUGACGGUACUCAACAAGGAAGUGACGGCUAACUACGUG